CUCAAUCAUAGCAGAGUCGAGAGUAAGAGUCCUGGCAUUACCCAGUUCUGAUAACAUGGGUAUGACAAAAUCAUAAUGUAAUCCCUUCUCAUCCAAUGUUGCAUCAUUGAACUCAUUUGUAUCUUAUAAUUUUACAGAUACAUUCUCCAAUCCAUGAACUUUUGACCUGACCAUAUUGAUACCAACUAAAGAAAGUUCGCGGAGCUUGUUUGACAAAACCACUAUUUCAUGGAUCCAGCAAAUACAUGAAAAGUUGGAACAGAUCUUGAGGUGCACUAAUUGGGGACAAGAUAUAAUCCAAUUGUGUUUACACGAUCCACUGAAAGAUAUUGUAAUAUCCCGCACAACUCACAAGUGCAGAGAAGAAAUCAUUCAUGUUCGCAGGUAAAUCUACCUCAUCCAGUUCUAGACUUAGUAAAUCUGGCAAAUCCCACACAUUUUCCGGCAAUUUGGCCCUUUUCAUGAUGAGGGUUGUCAGACAAGGCACGCUGAUAGACGACAGCGAUUCCGGCAACCUAAUGCCAUCAAGACACGGAGUCGUCAAAUUUGGCAACCAUAUCAAACAAUAUUCAGAUAAGUUAUAACUUGACAUAUGUGGCGGGCGUAUCAAAUGCAAAGCUUUUAAAGCAGGCAAGACCCACUCAGAAUCUGUUCGCAAUGAUUCAUCAUAGUCAAGAGGCACCCGUAACUUAAGUUUCUUCAAGGUAUCAGAACUAAAUGUCAAUAACUUGAACGGCUUAUAACGAUGGAACUGCAAAUCGAUAUCGAGCUCUUCAACAUUAUGGUCAAUUGGAUAAUUAAUCAACCUUCUUACAAAAUUAGGCGGAAACGGAUAAACAGCAAGAAACUUGAAACAAGAAACAUGGGUAUCUUGGUCUCGAUUUUCCAAAACAUGGUCAAUAAAUCUGAUGAUACCAGAAUGAGUGUAUGGGAAAAGUUGAUCAUACCCAUCAAAGGAGAGGACAGGGAGAGUAGUCCACAUACGCUUCCAUCUUUUAGAGUGGAUGCUUGUCUGAACCGCUUGUCGAGUGCCCAGAAAUGAAAGGACUUGAUAUAUUAAUUCAUCAAGUAAGCUGCUGAGCCUGUGUUCUCCAUUUGGGUUUGUGAUUUUGAGCUUGCUGUUCAUUUUUGGUGACCCAAUUUUCAUGGGUCUCGAGGGUUUACUGAUUACUGCUAAAAGGGGGCUUAUGAUGGUAUGAAAUGGGAUAUAAAUUUAUGUCGUCUGAGGGGAGAUCAAGCGUCAGGACUCAGGAGAGGGUGUGGGGUAACCGAGCUGACUUGUUUUUUUGGAGCAGCGUCUAUUUGGAUACUAUUGUUUAUACAGAAGUCAAAAUAAAAAAUGGUAUAAAAUCCUUAUGUGAAUUGUAAAACUUUUAAAGCUAACAAGAAAACCAAGUAAUUGUCCCCGGUAAGAGAAAAAACAUCAUUACCGGUUAAAUAGAAAGUGAUAAACCAUUUCUGAUAGACAAGUAAUAGAUCCCUGAUCCCUUGACCCGGUAACAAACUCACUAGCAAAAUCAGUCAUUUCAAUCCAUAAAAAAGUUUUUCACCAAGGUGCAAAGCAUAUUUAGCUUUGGUGUAUAAAAUAUCUCAAUUUUGGCUAUGAAAUUAUUAAAAGCACUUCACUGUGAGAUCAAGUAGCCCUCCAAACUCCUAGUUCUGGCCCUGCUAUAACCCAAAAUCAACAAUUUCUCAGGAAGAGCUUGCCCCGUCAUUACCUGUCCCGGUUCCUUCAACUGGACAACCAAUCUGUCUCACCUUUCCAGCAUCUACAACAGAAUUCUCGACCAAAUGCUCUCCUUGAACCCUCUUCCCAGUAUCAACACAGACCUUUUGCGAUGUCGAGGAGUUUGACACCACUUGAUGAUUCAACUUUCUCUGGAAAAAAAAUGACAAAUGCUGAGUGAAAUAGAGCUUAUACCUUAUUGACGUAGAGAAAACGUCUCUAUUUAAUUCAGUACACUGUUAAGUAUCAACCCAAUAUGAAUGGGAUUCUGAGACUAUGAAUGAGAUUAGAUAUUUUAGAAUUAGAUUCUGAUUUGUCAAAGUUUGAGACGACUAUAUAUACAUAGUCAUAUUGUUUGAUAGGUAUGCUUGAGUGUUGAGUGUUGUUAGGCUUGAGUAUCCUAGUUUGUUGAAUUGCAUUAUUGAUAACGGUUUUGAUUAAUAAUACACGUUGCGACGUGUCGCGUCAUAUAAUUUUGUGUGUAUGUUUUGUAUCAGAAGAUUGAUCUCGCAUAUUAUUCCUAACAAGUGGUAUCAAGAGCCUAGGUUCAUGAUGGAUAAUAUGGGAGGAAAAUUCGAUAUUGAAUUGUUUAAUGGCAGAAAUAAUUUUACUUUAUGGCAGAGCAAAGUGAAAGAUUUCACAAGAAAAAGUUGUGCUCAACACAAGUAAAAUUCUGAAAACAGUAACAUUACACUCAUAACAAGUUAUAGAUCAUGAGGCAAUGAUAUUGACUGUUGAUUCACUGCAUGCUGCCUUGAGGAAAGUAAAUCAAGACUAUAUAAAUGUUUUUUCUUCUAAAGAAAUGCUGGAAUUUUUGGUCACACAAAAGCAAAUUUGGACGUGAAACUGAAUCAUGGCAUAAGAGCAGCUAUUCUCUAUGCAGCUAUUAAUCAAUUUAAAAAAAUAAGAAGAAAUUUAAUACGCAGAGAGGAAAUCAAACUACCUGCUGCCACUGCUGUCAAUAUUUCUGGUAAUACCCUCUCACACCAGAGAUUAACAAAAAUAAAAUAAAAUAGAAUGUAUGUAUGAAGAAGAAUUCAAAGAGGUGCUUUAUCAUCAUGAUCUUCAGUUUGAACAUCAUUUUUUAAAUGGUACAAUGAUACUCAACGACGCAAUGCACCAAACUGAUUAAGAUUUACUGAUCCUAACAACCCCAAGCUUAUUGUUCCUAGCUAUAGCUGUUAGUUGAGUGUCCUAGUAUAACGAUAAACAUAACUAUAUAUAUUAUUCUUAACAUAAUUUAUUAGUUUACCUUGUGUAAUAAGAUAAUACUUCUGCCUGAAUCAGGCAUUUAGCUUCCAGACUUUUCAAGAAUUUGUAGGAAACAUCUGCAUAAACCACCUUAGAAGAUGGUGUGAAAAGAAAGCGGCCUCAUUCAGCUUACGGACAGCCUUCUCCAAUUCUUCAAGUCUAGCAACCACGAUGAGAUCAGAAGGCCCAGAGCGAGCUUCAGUGUUGAUAUUAUGAGCCUUCUUCAACGUACAGAUAGUCUUCUCCAAUUCAUCAAUUCUAGCAACGACGUUGGGAUCAAAAGGCCCAGAGUGUGUUUCAUUUGUUACAUGUGGCUCAAUGCCCUGCUCCAAUAAAAGCAGACUACUCGCUUGCUCUAUCAAUUAUUUUUUUUAAUUGCACCCUUUAUUUUUUGACUUUUCCAGUCUGACAUCACAGGCUUACCAAUUUCAAUAGCCAAAGGACUCAUUUUCUGGAGAAACCACGAUGAGAUCAGAAGGCCCAGAGCGAGCUUCAGUGUUGAUAUUAUGAGCCUUCUUCAACGUACAGAUAGUCUUCUCCAAUUCAUCAAUUCUAGCAACGACGUUGGGAUCAAAAGGCCCAGAGUGUGCUUCAUUUGUUACAUGUGGCUCAAUGCCCUGCUCCAAUAAAAGCAGUCUACUCGCUUGCUCUAUCAAUUAUUUUUUUUAAUUGCACCCUUUAUUUCUUGACUUUUCCAGGCCGACAUCACAGGCUUACCAAUUUCAAUAGCCAAAGGACUCAUUUUCUGGAGAAAAAAAAAACCUGAGAGCGGUCGAAGAUAUGGGGUUUGGAUUGCUCAAAUAUCUUCCUGCUGUGAAGAUGGAACAGAAACUUGUCAAAAAGCUUGUAGAGAAUUUUGAUGUUGGCUCUUGCUCGCUAUUUGGGUUAACCAUCACGGCUCAACAUGGUGGUGAGAUUUUAGGAUUCCCAUCCAAGGGUAAACUUGUCCCAAAAGCCAUCUCAGAUGUGGAGCGAGACAAAUUCAAAGCCAAAUAUGAAAAAUUAAACUUCAAAAAGUUAACAGAGCUUUUAAAAAAAGCUGACCUCGACUUUACGGAGACUUUUAUGCUUUAUGCAUUUGGCCACUUUUAUUGUUCGUGUACCAAAGAUGUUCCAAGUCAAAAGCUUUACAACGCUUUAUCAGUUGUGCCUUCUGCCCGAGAAUAUAAUUGGGGCAAGUUUGUCUGUGAAUCCCUUCUCGAGGCCAUCACUAUAAAAGAAGAGAAAGUAAAGCAAAUAGCGAUUCACGGAAUAUGGAUUUUGGGGGCUGCACAUACUUUUUGAAGGUACUUUGAUUUGCGUUUGUGUUUCGUAUUUGUCUAAGAAACACUUCCUAGAUGGUCUUGUUUGUCUGACACUUACUUUCGUGUUUGUUGUUCUCAGGGUUUUUUUUCUCCAGAAAAUCAGUCCUUUGGCUACUGAAAUUGGUAAGCCUGUGAUGUCGGCCUGGACAAGUCAAUAAAUAAAAGGUGCAAUUAAAAAAAGAUGAUGGAGCAAGCGAGUAGACUGCUUUUAUUGGAGCAUGACGUUGUGCCACGUGUAACAAAUGAAGCACACUCUGGGCCUUCUGAUUCCAUCGUGGUUGCUAGAAUUGAUGAAUUAGUGAAGACUAUCCGUACGCUGAAGGAGGCUCAUAAUACCAACACUGAAGCUCGCUCUAGGCCUUCUAAUCCCGACGUGGUUGCUAGACUUGAUGAAUUGGAGAAGGUUAUCCGUAAGCUGAAUGAGGCCGCUUUCUUUUCACAACCAUCUUUCAAGGUGGUUCAUGCAGAUAUUUCCUACAAAUUCUUGAAAAGUCUAGAAGCUAAAUGCCUGAUUCAUGCAGAAGUAUUAUCUUAUUACAUAAGGUAAACUAAUAAAUUAUGUUCAGAAUAAAAAAUGGGGAUUUGGGGAUGUGGUGAUUAUGACAUAUAUAAAAAUAUACAUAAUGCAAGAAACACAAUUUAAUUAAAAUAUAUAAAUCCUUAAUAUCAAAAUGCAUAGUGAUUAAAGUGAUUAAAACUUCUUUAUAGCAAUAAUAAUAAAUAUGUAAAAGAAAUAAUCAGCUAUAAAAUAUAUAAUCAAACAUAUAUUUCAAUACUUCAGGGAGUUGAAAAUAAGCAUAGAUCCGGUUUGGGGUAUACGCACAAGACACUCAACAUACAAGGUUCCGUAAUGUAUAGCAGCGGCCUUUCUUUUUUGCUUUUGACAAGCGGAAUAUGUAACUUCGAUCAUAGGGAUCAAUUUUUAGUCAUUAAAAGGACACUCAAAUCGGGUACUAUACGAAGUAUUUUAAACACGGGAAAGAAAAUACAGAGCAAGGUCUAGUUCGAGCUGUCGUGUAAAAGAAAACUGUUGAUAGUAUCCAUUUCGUUUACAUUAAAUGUUAUUUGUAAAACAUUAUUAUGAUAUCCAUUUCGUUUACAUAUAAAUUUGACUCAAAUUUUAUAUUUUAAAAAUAGGUUUGACGGUUAAAAUAUAUAAUUAAAUUUCAAAAUUGAUGCGAAGUUAUCAUGCCUCAAAAUAUUAAGAUUAACAUUUAAGAUUGAUUUCUUGAUAAAUACAUUCAUAAUUUCAUAUACAAAACAAAAACUUGUAUCAAGUAACUUCAGAAGNAGCCUCAUGUUGAUAUUAAGUAAGAUUAACAUUUAAGAUUGAUUUCUUGAUAAAUACAUUCAUAAUUUCAUAUACAAAACAAAAACUUGUAUCAAGUAACUUCAGAAGUUGAUCAUAUAAUAACGAAAAAAAUUAUAUAUAUUUUAGGAAAGAAUAAAACUAAUAGCACUAAAUACCCUAUAAAACAAAUUAAGUCUUAAACUAGCUAGCCUCAUGUUGAUAUUAAUUUGUGAAAAGCAAUACAUAAAUAAGCUACAGGGUGGACCACCACUGGGGCUUGCCCUGGUGUAGCUCCGCCCAUGAGUACACAUCUUAGUCAAUAUCAAUCGGCAAAGAGAACUCAUAACCGGUAAAGGAAAAGGAGAUAGAACAACAAUUCUCCUUCAUUUCCCAUAGUUGUCUCUUCAGAUUAAUGCAAGCCUGGAUCAACUGGUAGGUCAACGUUAAUCAAAUAAUUGCAAAUUGUCAUUCCAACACCCGCACAAAUCUGAACCGUAAAAGACAAGGACACACGGGGGGGCUCACCCCUUACAUAUAUGGCCGCACCCUCGCACCCCAAGGUAUCUCGCGGGAAAGAUCUUUUUCCACACCCCUGCUUUAUAGGCUAGAACAUAUAGGCCGUGUUUGAAAGUUAGAGAUUUGGAGUGUUUAAGAGGUUUGACCAUUUUACUCCGCUAAUUUUAGUAUUUGAUAGUUAGCGGAUUGAAAUAGAGGUUCGGGCUCAAAAAUGUACUUUGAGGAGCUUUUUGGGUUAGAGGUUUUGGUAUGUGUCAUAAAAAGCUAAUCAAACAGCUUUACCAAACAGUUUUACAAGAAACCACUAAUUAAAUCCGCUAGUCAAAACAUCUAUUUUAAUCAGCUAGUCAAAACAUCUAAUUCAAUCCGCUAACAGCUAACUGCUAAUUCCCAAACAGGGCAUAAUAAUAUUUGCAGUACAACAGCAAUGCUGUAUAUGCCAAUGACAACAUUUAUAAUCAGUGACUGUCAAUCCGUACUUAAUGCUUGUUUCUAUUCCCCCAUCACAUGAAAAACAAAAAAUAUAAAGAUAUAUUUUCUGGUUUCAACUUUGGAUUCAGUGUGUGUCGUAUCUGCCUACAGGACUGAGACUCACUAUAGAACAAUUUGUGUAUAAAGAAAACAGAUUACUUGCAUACCUGAGGCAAUGAUGUGACAAUAGUGGCUCUUGGAUUGCCACCGAGUAAGUAUUUUCUGAGGGUAGUAGAUAUACCAGAUUCUUUAUUUCCUUGAGGCAGUUUCACAUACUUCAAAUUUUUGAAUGGAGAAGGAACACGUCCCAAACUGUUGGAAACUGUAUAAAGUGCCUAAAAUAUAUUAUGACAAAAUACAUUAGUAUAAACAAUAUCUGAAAGCCAGUUGUAAUUAAAAACUAAUGUUCAUCAUAGAAUACACAAAGAUAACAUGUAAGUUGCGCAUUAGUUCUUGCAGGAAUAUAUUAGUUUUCUGGAAGCCAGAUCACUCAGGAAGCUGAAGAGAAGUGGUGUGAUUACUCUUGGCUUAUAAAUUUUAUAAAUGUAAACCACUAUCCACCAGAUAAUAAUGUUUAACUACAUUCUCCUCCGGAAACUAGAAAUAUAUAUUAAAGCAUCAUAAAAGUCAAAUAUUAAUUUACCUCAAUCAUAGCAGAGUCGAGAGUAAGAGUCCUGGCAUUACCCAGUUCUGAUAACAUGGGUAUGACAAAAUCAUAAUGUAAUCCCUUCUCAUCCAAUGUUGCAUCAUUGAACUCAUUUGUAUCCCAUAAUUUUACAGAUACAUUCUCCAAUUCAUGAACUUUUGACCUGACCAUAAAGAUACCAACUAAAGAAAGUUCACGGAGCUUGUUUGACAAAACCGCUAUUUCAUGGAUCCAGCAAAUACAUGAAAAGUUGGUACAGAUCUUGAGGUGCACUAAUUGGGGACAAGAUAUAAUCCAAUUGUGUUUACACGAUCCACUGAAAGAUAUUGUAAUAUCCCGCACACUCACAAGUGCAGAGAAAAAAUCAUUCAUGUUCGCAGGUAAAUCUACCUCAUCCAGUUCCAGACUUAGUAAAGCUGGCAAAUGCCACACAUUUUCCGGCAAUUUGGCCCUUUUCAUAAUGAGGGUUGUCAGACAAGGCACACUGAUAGACGACAUCGAUUCCGGCAACCUAAUGCCAUCAAGA
rnacentral:lncRNA from 1 species